CCAAUAGCGUAUAUUAAAGUUGUUGCAGUUAAAAAGCUCGUAGUUGAAUUUCGGGAUCAGUGGGUCGGUCGUGCCACUGGUAUGCACUGGCCCUACUGGUUCCUCCUUCUUGAAGAACUGUAAUGCCAUUAAUUUGGUGUUGCAGGGAAACAGGACUGUUACUUUGAAAAAAUUAGAGUGUUUAAAGCAGGCAAUCGCUUGAAUACAUUAGCAUGGAAUAACGAAAUAGGACGAUCGAUCCUAUUUUGUUGGUUUCUAGGAUUGACGUAAUGAUUAAUAGGGAUAGUUGGGGGCAUUAGUAUUCAAUUGUCAGAGGUGAAAUUCUUGGAUUUAUUGAAGACUAACUACUGCGAAAGCAUUUGCCAAGGAUGUUUUCAUUAAUCAAGAACGAAAGUUAGGGGAUCGAAGACGAUCAGAUACCGUCGUAGUCUUAACCAUAAACUAUGCCGACUAGGGAUCGGAUGAUGUUAAUUUUUUAAUGACUCAUUCGGCGCCUUAC
rnacentral:rRNA from 1 species